CCCCUGGUGCUCUAGUGGUUAGGAUGCAGCACUCUCAGCGCUGCACCCUGGGUUCGAUUCCCGAUCAGGGGA
rfam:Manacus vitellinus contig2973, whole genome shotgun sequence.